ACAAUUGUAUGGCCAAUUUAAUGUCCGAAAGGCAAGCAAACGAAGAAAUGCAUUCGCACUCGGCCAUGGGGGGAGAGAAACCAGUAGUAGAGCCCGGUCAUCGCCAUUCGCCGAAAUUAGGGCAAAAAUCAGACAAUUCGGAUACGGGCUGUAUUGUGUUUUUCUUCCCCUUCCCAUUGGCGCAAAGAUUUUUCUAAGCUCCAGAAUGGGCCUUGAAAGCGAGAAAGACAUGGAAAGGUCUCAAGUAUGUUGGAUUGCAAGCAAGGAAGCAUCAAGAUCUCUGAAAAAAGUGCUUUGCCACUGCUUCCUUAUAUUUAUUGAAAGUAAUUGACUAGCAUCUGAGCUGCAAGAAUGCUGCCGCUUGAAAAGAUAGGGUUCUUAAUGCUGGUAGAUCAUAGUGUACUUAAAUACAACGAGGUGGCAAAAUGUGACGGGCUGUCUGCUGCUUCGUUCAAUUGGGCCACCCAUCAAACAAGAAGCUGAUCUGCAUUGGAAGCAAGCAGGGAAAGGCUCUUACUGAGGCAGUUAGAUGCAGGAGGGCAGUCUAGUGGCUUGAAAUCAUAAAUCUUGGAGCACUGUUUAAUUCUGGCUGCGAGAACUAAUGCUGCAUUGGGACAGUUAUUAAGGAGUCUCUAUGACAACACACAGUGGAAAAUAUGCAGUGUGGUCUGGAGGCUCAAGCCAAGAAAACAUACGCCUCAUACUCUAACAUAGUUCAUGGUUCAAGAUGAUGUCCCACCCUCACCAGAUGUUAUGGACCAACUGUUUGAUGCGUACAUAUGACCACAUGCAGAUGAAAGUGUGGGGAAGACAACAUUUGAUAAUGUAUGGAUAGAUCAUAUGGAAGAACCUAGUGUACUUACUCCAACAUGAUGCGUGUGAUAUGUCUAAUUUCCCCUUCCUUGAGGGUGAAAUAAAUGUAGUUUCACAACCAAAUGCCAUUGACCACAUAUUAAUUUCUACACAAUCUAUCAUGCUAAACUCUUAUUUGGAAGAUUCAGAACAAGUGGUUAUGAUCAUUGUACUGUCAAAGAAAUGACCCAGGGAUUUGGAAACCAGCUUGCUGGCAGGGCUGCUUGUGUGAUAGAUGAAAGUUUUGAACUUCCCAUUGACUCUGAGCUGCACAAAGCACAUGGGAUGGGUUAUAUGGAAGGUAUGAUAGCUGUAUGUUGAACACUAGUCCAUCAAAAGCUGAUGAAUUUUCCAUAUUUAUGGAGGAAACUGAUGCAUGUUUCAUGACAGAAAGUGGUGCAGAGCAUCUGUUGGAUGCAGUGACAGGCAAUUUACGUCGUGUUUUAAAUGGCGAUGCAUCUGAGGCAUCCAAAUAUGUAAGAUCGUAUUGCAACCCUGCAAGAAAAGAAAUAAAAAUAAUCUAAGGAGUGUUGUCUAACAUAGAGAGAAGUGAAGGUCUCUCAGGCUCAAUAAGAUGUGAGAAGUCUGCAUGUCUCCAAAAUUGAAUGUUUUGCGAGUCCUAUUGGUCAUUCUUCAUCCAAGAGCAUUUGUAGGUCCACUGAUGACAAAAGGUGCAGCACCAUGUUUAUGGACACUGCGGCCCAAAGUGAACUCAGAAAAAAGAAGUUUGGGUAACAGACAAAAUUCACAGACCAAGACCAAGGGACAGAGUUGAUACAAGAUCAGGUUAAGUUGUGGGAGCUUAUUCUGAAUGGAUCAGAGGUCAGUCCUUUGGUGCAUUUAUCACAAUUUUUUCCACAUUUCUGUGACCAGAUUAUUUGGAUCUGGGCUUUGUUGUAACUGUGGUAUUACCAGUGGGAUAUCAUGGCAGAAGGCAUUUGCGCAUGUGCUUGUGGAAUCUUCUUCUGUCAUGCGGUGCAGCAUUAUUGCAUUAUUGGAUAGAGCCGUAAAGUACACGUUACUUAUGUGAAGCAUUACCAGUCAAGCGGAAAAAUUGAGGCGAUAAGCAUAUCCAAAGAUUACAGGUCUGGUUUUGAAUUUGGCAAAGUCUGAGUCUCAGCCAAAAGGACCCAGCUAGGCCUAUUAGCUAGGAGAUCAACAUGAGUCUUGCCUCUCAAAGUUGAAAACAUCAGCCAACCAGAUCAAAUGCUCAUAGAGAUUUCAUACCAUACUCAUGUUAAACUUGGUGCAGUAUGUUGACCUGCUAAUAUGUCAUUCAUUCCUAGUGAGGAAGAUGGACUCUUUCUAGCAAUAACCCAUCUCAUCAGGAGCCUGGAGCUAAAAAUUCUGAAGGGAGGUUUGGAGAGUCAAUCAGACAAUCUUUGAGCUCAUUUCAUUAUCAAUGUAGACAGGUGGACACUGAUUCAACAUUUGAAAUUGAGGAUAGAAUGACAUGAUAUUUGUUUUUCAGGCUUCCGGGGCUUCCACUGAAUGCAAAUUCUCUGCUCUUAAUGCGGCUGCUGCAACAGCUGCAACAAAAUUACACUACAUCCGUGUGGUGUUGUUUGAUUAUCGGUUACUUUUUUGGCAUUUAUCAGUAUUGACUUUGCACAUAUUUUGGGAUGCCAAGCUGUAUAACUAUUAUACAGGAAUGACUGCUUCGUUGCAUAAAUCAUCAUAGAUGGGCUGAGUACACACUGCAGCAUGUCAAAGGCAAUCAAGAAAAAAAAGAGAUACAUGCAGGCACAUGUGUAUGUAUUGCUAGAAUUUGUGCAUAUACAUGUCGCAUUCAGUGAAACCUACUCAAACCUAACAAAAUUGUGAAGCAGAACAAUGUGCAGGAAUUAUGUUCAGGUAGGCGAUUCAGCAAGCACCAGCGUAUGCCACCAACCACAAGAUACAUUCGUUGGGUGGUAAGCUUCGAUCGGGACCUGGGACGGUAUGUUUCUGUCUAUUGCAUCCCCCAAGCCAAGCUGCACAUGUAGGAUUCGGAACUUUUGAAUUUUGUGCUCAAGAAAUGAGAAAGUAAAAAAAUAAUAAUAAAAAAGAAAGAAAAUUUGAAAUAAUACCUGGCCAUACUUGUUCCA